CUACGGAGGAGUGCGAGCGGUUAUCCGGAUUUAUUGGGUUUAAAGGGUGCGUAGGCGGCUUUUUAAGUCAGCGGUGAAAUUUUGCAGCUUAACUGUAACAGUGCCGUUGAUACUGGGGAGCUAGGAUUUGGUUGCUGUGGGUGGAAUGUGUGGUGUAGCGGUGAAAUGCGUAGAUAUCGGGAAGAACACCGGUGGCGAAGGCGACUUUCUGGUCUGUAACUGACGCUCAGGCACGAAGGCGUGGGGAUCAAACCCGGAUUAGAUACCCUGGUAGUCCCUGA
rnacentral:rRNA from 1 species